AUACAACUUUCAACAACGGAUCUCUUGGCUCUCGCAUCGAUGAAGAACGCAGCGAAAUGCGAUAAGUAAUGUGAAUUGCAGAAUUCAGUGAAUCAUCGAAUUUUUGAACGCACCUUGCGCUCCUUGGUAUUCCGAGGAGCAUGCCUGUUUGAGUGUCA
rnacentral:rRNA from 1 species